rnacentral:rRNA from 1 species
GUAAACGGCGGCCGUAACUAUAACGGUCCUAAGGUAGCGAAAUUCCUUGUCGGGUAAGUUCCGACCUGCACGAAUGGUGUAACGAUCUGGGUACUGUCUCAGCCAUGAGCUCGGUGAAAUUGUAGCAACGGUGAAGAUGCCGUUUACCCGCAACGGGACGGAAAGACCCCGUGAACCUUCACUACAGCUUAACAUUGAUUUUGGAUAUAUGAUGUGUAGGAUAGGUCGGAGGCUGCGAAGCAGGCGCGCUAGCGCAGGUGGAGCCAUCCUUGAAAUACGACCCUUUAUCUAUUUGAAAUCUAACUCCCGCUAUGGGAGGACCAUGUUUGGUGGGUAGUUUGACUGGGGUGGUCGCCUCCAAAAGAGUAACGGAGGCUUUCAAAGGUACCCUCAGCACGCUUGGUAACCGUGCGUUGAGUGCAAUAGCAUAAGGGUGCUUGACUGUGAGACAAACAAGUCGAUCAGGUAGGAAACUAGGAUAUAGUGAUCCGGUGGUUCCGCAUGGAAGGGCCAUCGCUCAAAGGAUAAAAGGUACUCCGGGGAUAACAGGCUGAUCACUCCCAAGAGCUCAUAUCGACGGAGUGGUUUGGCACCUCGAUGUCGGCUCGUCACAUCCCGGGGCUGGAGAAGGUCCCAAGGGUUCGGCUGUUCGCCGAUUAAAGUGGCACGCGAGCUGGGUUCAGAACGUCGCGAGACAGUUCGGUCCCUAUCUGUUGUGGGCGCAGAAGCUUGAGAGGACCUGACUCUAGUACGAGAGGACCGAGUUGGACAAACCUCUGGUGUACCUGUUGUGGCGCCAGCCGCACCGCAGGGUAGCCAAGUUUGGAUGAGAUAAGUGCUGAAAGCAUCUAAGUACGAAACUCACCUCAAGAUGAGGCUUCAUUUAAGGGCCGUCAUAGACGAUGACGUCGAUAGGUCGCAGGUGUAAAGGCAGUAAUGUCAUAGCCGAGCGAUACUAAUUACCCAAUACUUGCUCGU